rfam:Salmo salar isolate Sally breed double haploid chromosome ssa14, whole genome shotgun sequence.
UAUGCACUCUACUGUAAGUCGCUCUGGAUAAGAGCGUCUGCUAAAUGACUCAAA